rnacentral:rRNA from 1 species
ACGCCUGCCCGGUGCUGGAAGGUUAAGGGGAUCUGUUAGAGCAAUCGAAGCAGUGAACUUAAGCCCCAGUAAGCGGCGGCCGUAACUAUAACGGUCCUAAGGUAGCGAAAUUCCUUGUCGGGUAAGUGCCGACCCGCACGAAAGGCGUAACGAUUUGGGCACUGUCUCAACAACAGACUCGGUGAAAUUGUAAUUCCGGU